GGAUAUACAGGCACACUGGCUGUGACAUCUGUCACCCCAGUGAUGACCAGGGCUGACUUGGUGUGCUCACUUCCUCCUUUACCACACCAUGUGUGUCACUCCCAAAGCUAUAAAUAUGGAGGACUGUUCUUCAUUCAAGGAUAUACAAGUAGUUGCAUUCUACUACUAAAACAUCUAAACAAGUUCUUAAAAUUCUUUCUUCCAGCUACAUUAUUAUUAUCUAUAAUAAUCCUAUUGUUACCAUAGAACACCCAAAGUUAUCUGUUGAUCAAGUUU
ensembl:misc_RNA 7SK 7SK RNA